rnacentral:rRNA from 1 species
CUGCGGAAGGAUCAUUAUCAAAACAGCGGACUUCGGUCCUUGCUGCACCCUUGUCUUUUGCGUACCGUAUGUUUCCUCGGCGGGCUUGCCUGCCGGUUGGACAAUAUCAAACCUUUUUGUAGUUGCAAUCAGCGUCAGAAAACAAAUAAUAAUUACAACUUUCAACAACGGAUCUCUUGGUUCUGGCAUCGAUGAAGAACGCAGCGAAAUGCGAAAAGUAGUGUGAAUUGCAGAAUUCAGUGAAUCAUCGAAUCUUUGAACGCACAUUGCGCCCCUUGGUAUUCCAUGGGGCAUGCCUGUUCGAGCGUCAUUUUGUACCCUCAAGCACUGCUUGGUGUUGGGCGUUUGUCCUGCAAAGGACUCGCCUGAAAGCGAUUGGCGGCCAACGUACUGGUGGUAGAGCGCAGCACAAUUUGCGUCUCUCCCUUCUACGUCGGCGUCCAUGAAGCCUUAUUCAAACGUUUGACCUCGGAUCAGGUAGGGAUACCCGCUGAACUUAAGCAUAUCAAUAAGCGGAGGAAAAGAAACCAACAGGGAUUGCCCUAGUAACGGCGAGUGAAGCGGCAUCAGCUC